rnacentral:rRNA from 1 species
GUUAAGCGACUAAGCGUACACGGUGGAUGCCUAGGCAGUCAGAGGCGAUGAAGGGCGUGCUAAUCUGCGAUAAGCGUCGGUAAGCUGAUAUGAAGCGUUACAACCGACGAUACCCGAAUGGGGAAACCCAGUGCAAUUCGUUGCACUAUUGCAUGGUGAAUACAUAGCCAUGCAAGGCGAACCGGGGGAACUGAAACAUCUAAGUACCCCGAGGAAAAGAAAUCAACCGAGAUUCCCCCAGUAGCGGCGAGCGAACGGGGAAGAGCCCAGAGUCUGAAUCAGCUGGUGUGUUAGUGGAAGCGUCUGGAAAGUCGCACGGUACAGGGUGAUAGUCCCGUACACAAAAACACACCUUCUGUGAACUCGAUGAGUAGGGCGGGACACGUGACAUCCUGUCUGAAUAUGGGGGGACCAUCCUCCAAGGCUAAAUACUCCUGACUGACCGAUAGUGAACCAGUACCGUGAGGGAAAGGCGAAAAGAACCCCGGCGAGGGGAGUGAAAUAGAACCUGAAACCGUGUACGUACAAGCAGUGGGAGCACCUUCGUGGUGUGACUGCGUACCUUUUGUAUAAUGGGUCAGCGACUUAUAUUUUGUAGCAAGGUUAACCGAAUAGGGGAGCCGUAGGGAAACCGAGUCUUAACUGGGCGUCUAGUUGCAAGGUAUAGACCCGAAACCCGGUGAUCUAGCCAUGGGCAGGUUGAAGGUUGGGUAACACUAACUGGAGGACCGAACCGACUAAUGUUGAAAAAUUAGCGGAUGACUUGUGGCUGGGGGUGAAAGGCCAAUCAAACCGGGAGAUAGCUGGUUCUCCCCGAAAGCUAUUUAGGUAGCGCCUCGUGAACUCAUCUUCGGGGGUAGAGCACUGUUUCGGCUAGGGGGUCAUCCCGACUUACCAAACCGAUGCAAACUCCGAAUACCGAAGAAUGUUAUCACGGGAGACACACGGCGGGUGCUAACGUCCGUCGUGAAGAGGGAAACAACCCAGACCGCCAGCUAAGGUCCCAAAGUCAUGGUUAAGUGGGAAACGAUGUGGGAAGGCAUAGACAGCCAGGAUGUUGGCUUAGAAGCAGCCAUCAUUUAAAGAAAGCGUAAUAGCUCACUGGUCGAGUCGGCCUGCGCGGAAGAUGUAACGGGGCUAAACCAUGCACCGAAGCUGCGGCAGCGACGCUUAGGCGUUGUUGGGUAGGGGAGCGUUCUGUAAGCCGUUGAAGGUGGCCUGUGAGGGCUGCUGGAGGUAUCAGAAGUGCGAAUGCUGACAUAAGUAACGAUAAUGCGGGUGAAAAACCCGCACGCCGGAAGACCAAGGGUUCCUGUCCAACGUUAAUCGGGGCAGGGUGAGUCGACCCCUAAGGCGAGGCUGAAAAGCGUAGUCGAUGGGAAACAGGUUAAUAUUCCUGUACUUGGUGUUACUGCGAAGGGGGGACGGAGAAGGCUAGGCUAGCCGGGCGACGGUUGUCCCGGUUUAAGCAUGUAGGCGGAGUGACUUGGUAAAUCCGGUUGCUUAUCAACGCUGAGGUGUGAUGACGAUGCACUACGGUGCAGAAGUAGUUGAUGCCAAGCUUCCAGGAAAAGCCUCUAAGCAUCAGGUAACAUUGAAUCGUACCCCAAACCGACACAGGUGGUCAGGUAGAGAAUACUCAGGCGCUUGAGAGAACUCGGGUGAAGGAACUAGGCAAAAUGGUGCCGUAACUUCGGGAGAAGGCACGCUGGCAUUAGGUAAAGAGACUUGCUCUCGGCGCCGAAGCCAGUCGCAGAUACCAGCUGGCUGCAACUGUUUAAUAAAAACACAGCACUGUGCAAACACGAAAGUGGACGUAUACGGUGUGACGCCUGCCCGGUGCUGGAAGGUUAAUUGAUGGGGUCAGCCGCAAGGCGAAGCUCUUGAUCGAAGCCCCAGUAAACGGCGGCCGUAACUAUAACGGUCCUAAGGUAGCGAAAUUCCUUGUCGGGUAAGUUCCGACCUGCACGAAUGGCGUAAUGAUGGCCAGGCUGUCUCCACCCGAGACUCAGUGAAAUUGAACUCGCUGUGAAGAUGCAGUGUACCCGCGGCAAGACGGAAAGACCCCGUGAACCUUUACUAUAGCUUGACACUGAACAUUGAGCCUUGAUGUGUAGGAUAGGUGGGAGGCAUCGAAGUGUGGACGCCAGUCUGCAUGGAGCCAACCUUGAAAUACCACCCUUUAAUGUUUGAUGUUCUAACUCGGCCCCAUAAUCUGGGGUGAGGACAGUGUCUGGUGGGUAGUUUGACUGGGGCGGUCUCCUCCCAAAGAGUAACGGAGGAGCACGAAGGUUAGCUAAUCACGGUCGGACAUCGUGAGGUUAGUGCAAAGGCAUAAGCUAGCUUGACUGCGAGAGUGACGGCUCGAGCAGGUACGAAAGUAGGUCUUAGUGAUCCGGUGGUUCUGAAUGGAAGGGCCAUCGCUCAACGGAUAAAAGGUACUCCGGGGAUAACAGGCUGAUACCGCCCAAGAGUUCAUAUCGACGGCGGUGUUUGGCACCUCGAUGUCGGCUCAUCACAUCCUGGGGCUGAAGUAGGUCCCAAGGGUAUGGCUGUUCGCCAUUUAAAGUGGUACGCGAGCUGGGUUUAGAACGUCGUGAGACAGUUCGGUCCCUAUCUGCCGUGGGCGUUGGAAGAUUGAGAGGGGCUGCUCCUAGUACGAGAGGACCGGAGUGGACGAAUCACUGGUGUUCGGGUUGUCAUGCCAAUGGCAUUGCCCGGUAGCUAAAUUCGGAAGAGAUAACCGCUGAAAGCAUCUAAGCGGGAAACUUGCCUCGAGAUGAGUCUUCCCUGGGGCUUUAAGCCCCCUGAAGGAACGUUAAAGACUAUGACGUUGAUAGGCUGGGUGUGUAAGUGCAGCGAUGCAUUGAGCUAACCAGUACUAAUGAUCCGUGAGGCUUAACC